rnacentral:rRNA from 1 species
CGUGGAGACAGGUGGUGCAUGGCUGUCGUCAGCUCGUGUCGUGAGAUGUUGGGUUAAGUUCCGCAACGAGCGCAACCCUCGCUGAGUGUUGCCACCAGUUCGGCUGGGCACUCACUCGGGACUGCCAGAGUAAUCUGGAGGAAGGUGGGGAUGAUGUCAAGUCCGCAUGCCCCUUACGCCCAGGGCUGCACACAUGCUACAAUGGGGAGUACAAAGGGAUGCAAGACCGCGAGGUGGAGCCGAUCCCACAAAACUACCCCCAGUUCGGAUCGGAGUCUGCAACUCGACUCCGUGAAGUCGGAAUCGCUAGUAACCGCAGGUCAGCACACUGCGGUGAAUACGUUCCCGGGCCUUGUACACACCGCCCGUCAGGCGAUGAGAGUCGGCUGUACUCGAAGUCGCUGAG